UAGCAGUGGUUGGGACUGGCAAGUAAUGCAUUAAAAUGAAGAAUUUUGUGUCAGGACACAGCCUAUUUUGCUUUUGAAGUGCUUCCAGAUUGUACCUAAAGCUGAGCCUAGAUCUGUGAGAGAGGAGGGUAUAACGUUACCUGCUCUACUGAAGUUGGAGGUGGGGUGCUGAGUGUUAAAGGCUUACACUGGACAUCUGCACAGGGGCUCUGGCUUCUUCACCUGGCUCUGCUGCUGUUCCAGAUGAAUGGGCCUGGAUGGUGUCGUUUGCGGGAAGCCCCCUGCGAGAGUUCCGAGCCUGCAGAGAGCCCCGGGUUCCCUCCCAUCCCUUCCCAUCCCAUCCCACCGGGCUGAACAGCCCCGGAUCCCCGCUCUGAGGAGUGCCCAUCCUCUGCGAUCGGCAUCAGAGGCACGCCGAACUCGUGCACUAAAUGGGCUCAUUAGCCGAGCUGCAGAUGGACUUAGGUAAUAGGAAUGGAGUAAUAGUGAAAAUUAGUUUGGAGGGAAACAUCAAAUCGAAAAGCUCUGACAAAACUCCGCUUUGCUCUAGUUCAGCCGAGGUACUGUCAGACACAAAUAUUCAAUUCUAUGUCGCUUCAAAUUGAGAUUUUAUUUUGUUACUCGCUAAUUUGCUUCUUGUACAGUCUUGCAAGUUUUUUUGGUCUCA